UACGUAGGGGGCGAGCGUUGUCCGGAUUCAUUGGGCGUAAAGAGCUCGUAGGCGGUUCGGUAAGUCAGGUGUGAAAACUCCAGGCUCAACUUGGAGACGCCACCUGAUACUGUCGUGACUAGAGUCCGGUAGGGGAGCAUGGAAUUCCUGGUGUAGCGGUGAAAUGCGCAGAUAUCAGGAGGAACACCAGCGGCGAAGGCGGUACUCUGGGCCGGAACUGACGCUGAGGAGCGAAAGCGUGGGGAGCGAACAGG
rnacentral:rRNA from 1 species